UAGGGAAUCUUCCGCAAUGGACGAAAGUCUGACGGAGCAACGCCGCGUGAGUGAAGAAGGAUUUCGGUUCGUAAAACUCUGUUGUUAGGGAAGAAAAAAUGUAUAGUAACUAUAUACAAAAGAGACGGUACCUAACCAGAAAGCCACGGCUAACUACGUGCCAGCAGCCGCGGUAAUACGUAGGUGGCAAGCGUUGUCCGGAAUUAUUGGGCGUAAAGCGCGCGCAGGUGGUUUAGAAAGUCUGAUGUGAAAGCCCACGGCUCAACCGUGGAGGGUCAUUGGAAACUAAUAAACUUGAGUGCAGGAGAGAAAAGUAGAAUUCCUAGUGUAGCGGUGAAAUGCGUAGAGAUUAGGAGGAACACCGGUGGCGAAAGCGGCUUUUUGGCCUGCAACUGACACUGAGGCGCGAAAGCGUGGGGAGCAAACAGG
rnacentral:rRNA from 1 species